GCCCAGACCGCGUCCGCCCCGCGAGCACAGAGCCUCGCCUUCGCCGCUCCGCCGCCCGUUCACACCCGCCGCCAGCUCACCAUGGAUGAUGAUAUCGCCGCGCUCGUUGUCUACAACGGCUCUGGCAUGUGCAAGGCCGGCUUCGCGGGCGAAGAUGCCCCCCGGGCUGUCUUCCCCUCCAUCGUGGGGCGCCCCAGGCACCAGGGCGUGAUGGUGGGCAUGGGUCAGAAGGAUUCAUAUGUGGACGACGAGGCCCAGAGCAAGAGAGGCAUCCUCACCCUGAAGUAACCCAUCGAGCACGGCAUCGUCACCAACUGGGACGAUGUGGAGAAGAUCUGACACCACACCUUCUACAAUGAGCUGCGUGUGGCGCUAUCCUGCGUCUGGACCUGGCUGGCCGGGACCUGACUGACUACCUCAUGAAGAUCCUCACUGAGCGCGGCUACAGCUUCACCACCACCACGGCCGAGCGGAAAAUCGUGCGUGACAUCAAGGAGAAGCUGUGCUAUGUCGCCCUGGACUUCCAGCAGGAGAUGGCCACAGUGGCUUCCAGCUCCUCCCUGGAGAAGAGCUAGGAGCUGCCCGAUGGCCAGGUCAUCACCAUUGGCAACGAGCAGUUCCGCUGCCCUGAGGCUCUCUUCCAGCCUUCCUUCCUGGGCAUGGAGUCCUGUGGCAUCCACGAAACUACCUUCAACUCCAUCAUGAAGUGUGACGUGGACAUCCGUAAAGACCUGUACGCCAACACAGUGCUGUCUGGUGGCACCACCAUGUACCCUGGCAUUGCCGACAAGAUACAGAAGGAGAUUACUGUCCUGGCGCCCAGCACGAUGAAGAUCAAGAUCAUUGCUCCCCCUGAGCGCAAGUACUCUGUGUGGAUCGGCGGCUCCAUCCUGGCCUCGCUGUCCAUCUUCCAGCAGAUGUGGAUCAUCAAGCAGGAGUAUGACGAGUCUGGCCCCUCCAUCGUCCACCGCAAAUGCUUCUAGGGGGACUGUGACUUA